GCACCCCGGAUAUCGCACACAAAACACAGUCCCUGCUGCUGCUCUUGUCCUCACUCCUGAGGCCGCUCUCUUACUCUUCUCGUCUCCAUCUCUCCCCGAAUUAAGAGCACACUCAAGGGAUCUCUAGCUAUUUCCUUCUUCUAUCACUGCUCGCCGUGAACUGGUUUGGUCUUCUUCUAACGCGGCGGCAAGCUCACCACUCACCAUGGAGGCGCCGUUGCUGGUGGCUGCGCUAGUGCUCCUGUCCUCCACUCUCGCCGCCUCUGAUUUCUGCGUGUGCAGGUCAGAUCAGCCCCAGGCGGCGCUGCAGAAGACCAUCGACUACGCGUGCGGGGCAGGGGCCGACUGCAACUUCAUCCACGAGCAGGGGCCGUGCUACAACCCCAACACCGUCGUCGCGCACUGCUCCUGGGCGGCCAACAGUUACUUCCAGAGGAAAAGGGGAACCGGAGCCACCUGCGACUUCACCGGCACCGCCACCCUCACCACCACCGACCCAAGUUCUUCAGGCUGCUCCUACCCCUCAAGUGCAAGCGGAGCUGGAACAUCAACGACUGGGGCUGGGAUUGGGACCGGAGGAGCAACCGGGGGAACCCCAGGCACAGGCACAGGCACAGGCACGUUCACGCCCGGCGCCGGUACCGGCACUGGCAUGGGUACCACUGGGACUACAGGCACCGCCGGGUUCGGCGGCCUAGGUCCGACAGGCACGAGCAACAUGGACACCGCAGCGGCGGCCUCGCACCAUCCAAUGGCUGGACCGGUUGCCUUCCUCUCAGCUCUUCUCUCCCUCCUGGCAUUCGCGUGAAGUUCGAUCACCCGAAUUGGCUGGAAGUAAGAGAUGUCUUGCCUUUCUGGUAAGCUUGUUACUGUCAUAGUGUGAGGACAAUGGAAGAAAAACCUGAUCCUUCUGAAGGUGUCGUCCUGUCCAAAACCCCACUAGUUCAUUGUCCUGUUUGGUUUCAGUGGCAUGCAUGGUGUAAUUUGGUAGGAUGGUUGUCACUUUCUUGCAAGGACGCGCGCGCUCUCUCUCUCUCUGUUCCUCUUGUAAAUCUAGGGGAACAAUUAGCAGGUUAGUAGAUCAAGGUUGGUCGGUGCGGGAGUGUUGUUGGGACAAUGGCAUUAUGGCGAUACUGAUAUUACCAGCUUGGCAGCUUAUGAUC